rnacentral:rRNA from 1 species
CGCGUAGGUGGUUUGGUAAGCGAGAUGUGAAAGCCCCGGGCUUAACCUGGGAACGGCAUUUCGAACUGUCAGGCUAGAGUAUGGUAGAGGAGUGUGGAAUUUCCUGUGUAGCGGUGAAAUGCGUAGAUAUAGGAAGGAACACCAGUGGCGAAGGCGGCACUCUGGACCAAUACUGACACUGAGGUGCGAAAGCGUGGGGAGCAAACA